UUAAAGCAAUGGAAAGGCAGACCAAUAGAUUAAUUGAAAAAUAUUCAUUGCAAAAUAUUUUAGAUAUUCUAUGCUAAUUAUUGGUAAAACUGAUUUUCUUCUCCCCUUUUUUUCAGUGUUGAUUGUCAUUUGAUUGUGAGCUAACUACAGCCCAAAGGCUCUUUUAAGAGCCACAAGCACUGAGGAUCUUUGGCUUUAUUCUUUGUCAGGAUCAAUCCUGAAGAGGGCACAAAGUGCACUGCAAAAUUCGGUACAAGCCGUAAGACAGGUGGAACUGUACAA